UACGUAGGUGGCAAGCGUUGUCCGGAUUUACUGGGCGUAAAGAGCGCGCAGGCGGUCGAUCAAGUCGCGUGUGAAAGCCCCCCGGCUCAACUGGGGAGGGUCACGCGAUACUGAUCGACUCGAAGGCAGGAGAGGUAGUGGAAUUCCGGUGUAGUGGUGAAAUGCGUAGAGAUCGGCAGGAACACCCAGGGCGAAAGCAGCCACCUGGGCAUCAUCUGACGCUGAGGGACGAAAGCGUGGGGAGCGGAACCGGGA
rnacentral:rRNA from 1 species